AAGAUUAAAGCCUGGAAGCAAUCCCCAGGGAAAACCUUAGAGGAGUCAAAACUAUGACA
rnacentral:sRNA from 14 species